rnacentral:rRNA from 1 species
AUCAGCCGGUACUCGCGAAUGCACUAGAGUUUUAGUUGAUCAUGGCUCAGAGUCAACGCUGUNGGUAGGCCUAACACAUGCAAGUCGAACGGCAGCACAGGAGAGCUUGCUCUCUGGGUGGCGAGUGGCGGACGGGUGAGGAAUACAUCGGAAUCUACUCUGUCGUGGGGGAUAACGUAGGAAACUUACGCUAAUACCGCAUACGACCUACGGGUGAAAGCAGGGGAUCUUCGGACCUUGCGCGAUUGAAUGAGCCGAUGUCGGAUUAGCUAGUUGGCGGGGUAAAGGCCCACCAAGGCGACGAUCCGUAGCUGGUCUGAGAGGAUGAUCAGCCACACUGGAACUGAGACACGGUCCAGACUCCUACGGGAGGCAGCAGUGGGGAAUAUUGGACAAUGGGCGCAAGCCUGAUCCAGCCAUACCGCGUGGGUGAAGAAGGCCUUCGGGUUGUAAAGCCCUUUUGUUGGGAAAGAAAUCCAGCUGGCUAAUACCUGGUUGGGAUGACGGUACCCAAAGAAUAAGCACCGGCUAACUUCGUGCCAGCAGCCGCGGUAAUACGAAGGGUGCAAGCGUUUACUCGGAAUUACUGGGCGUAAAAGCGUGCGUAGGUNGGUCGUUNAAGUCCGUUGUUGAAAGCCCUNGGGCUCGAACCCUGGGAAACUUGCAGUUGGAAUUAACUGGGGGCGAACUAAGAAGUGUGGUACGAGGGGUAGCCGGAUUCCUGGUGNUAACACGUGAAAAUUGCGUUAAGACUCCGGAAGGACACUUCCCUUGGNGAAAGGCAGGUAACUUGACACANCCUUGACCUUGAGGCNNCAACAUGCUGNUUGCUGUGCCACACCGGUUAAUUCCUGUGUAAUGCANGCUAUAC